rnacentral:rRNA from 1 species
UGAUCCUGGCUCAGAUUGAACGCUGGCGGCAGGCCUAACACAUGCAAGUCGAACGGUAGCAUAUCUUGCUUGCAAGAUGAUGACGAGUGGCGGACGGGUGAGUAAUACUUAGGAACAUGCCUUUGAGAGGGGGAUAACUAUUGGAAACGAUAGCUAAUACCGCAUAACGUCUACGGACCAAAGGGGGCUUCGGCUCUCGCUCAGAGAGUGGCCUAAGCGAGAUUAGCUAGUUGGUGAGGUAAAGGCUCACCAAGGCGACGAUCUCUAGCUGUUCUGAGAGGAAGAUCAGCCACACUGGGACUGAGACACGGCCCAGACUCCUACGGGAGGCAGCAGUGGGGAAUAUUGCACAAUGGGGGGAACCCUGAUGCAGCCAUGCCGCGUGUGUGAAGAAGGCCUUCGGGUUGUAAAGCACUUUCAGUUGUGAGGAAAGGUUAGUAGUUAAUACCUGCUAGCUGUGACGUUAGCAACAGAAGAAGCACCGGCUAACUCCGUGCCAGCAGCCGCGGUAAUACGGAGGGUGCGAGCGUUAAUCGGAAUUACUGGGCGUAAAGCGCACGCAGGUGGUUUGUUAAGCUAGAUGUGAAAGCCCAGGGCUCAACCUUGGAAUAGCAUUUAGAACUGGCAGGCUAGAGUCUUGGAGAGGGGAGUGGAAUUCCAGGUGUAGCGGUGAAAUGCGUAGAGAUCUGGAGGAACAUCAGUGGCGAAGGCGACUCCCUGGCCAAAGACUGACACUCAUGUGCGAAAGUGUGGGUAGCGAACAGGAUUAGAUACCCUGGUAGU